CUGGCAUAUGAGUCUAGUGUCUGUGUUAAGAAUUAAAUCAGUUUGCCCCAGUCAAAUGGAGAAAGAAUGGGAGAUGUGUUUCCUUUUCUUCUUCCUCCUUGAUGCAAUUCCUAAGAGACUUGCCUAUGCUUCAACAUGAAAGUGAGGAAGAAGAAUCCCCAAAAGUAUUAAUUUGAACAAUAAUUAUUGCUUAUAGGGAGUGAAGGAAGUUGGAAGUCAGUACAUACUGAGAUUUGGGAAGAGCUCUUCAUGUGGUCAGGUAAUGUAUAAAAAAUUUUGAAUGGUACUAAAUGAACCUGUGCAUGUAGCAUUCCAUGAAGAUAUGACUAUAUGAUACGUGUUACUUGGUAC
rnacentral:lncRNA from 1 species